rnacentral:rRNA from 1 species
GAGACGGCUCAUAGUUCUAAGGAAGGCAGCAGGCGCGGAAAUUGCCCAAUGUACCGUUGUGUACGAGGCAGUGACGAGGCGUCGUGAGUCACUUAGGUGACAUUACGAUGAGUGAGGUGUACAGACCCUCGCAAAUGCAAGUCGUGGGAAAGCAUGGUGCCAGCAGCCGCGGUAAUUCCAUCAUGACUAACUCAUUCUUACGGUGCUGCAGUUAAAGCGUCCGUAGCUGGCGGCCUGCCGACUCGAGGAACUCUCGACGCCCAACGUAGCGAGCGCGGUGAGCUGCAGCGAGUUACGGCAACAACAACUAUCGCUAUAGGACAGGGGAAGGCUCCUUCUAUUAUAGGGGGACAGGUGAAAUAGGAUGAUGCCUAUAGGAGGAACAAGUGCGCAGGCACUGAGUCGCCCCCGGUUCGUUGGUCAAGGGCGUUAUCGUGGGGCUAGACGAUGAUUAGAGACCGUUUUACUCCACGUCGUAAACGAUGCUACCUCGCUGUG